rnacentral:rRNA from 1 species
AGCGAACGCUGGCGGCAGGCCUAACACAUGCAAGUCGAACGAAGCCUUCGGGCUUAGUGGCGGACGGGUGAGUAACACGUGGGAACGUACCUUUUGGUUCGGAACAACUCAGGGAAACUUGAGCUAAUACCGGAUGAGCCCUUAGGGGGAAAGAUUUAUCGCCGAAAGAGCGGCCGCGUUAGAUUAGCUAGUUGGUGAGGUAAAGGCUCACCAAGGCAACGAUCUAUAGCUGGUCUGAGAGGAUGAUCAGCCACACUGGGACUGAGACACGGCCCAGACUCCUACGGGAGGCAGCAGUGGGGAAUCUUGCGCAAUGGGCGAAAGCCUGACGCAGCCACGCCGCGUGAAUGAUGAAGGUCUUAGGAUUGUAAAAUUCUUUUACCAGGGACGAUAAUGACGGUACCUGGAGAAAAAGCCCCGGCUAACUUCGUGCCAGCAGCCGCGGUAAUAC